rnacentral:rRNA from 1 species
AACGAACGCUGGCGGCAUGCCUAACACAUGCAAGUCGAACGAGACCUUCGGGUCUAGUGGCGCACGGGUGCGUAACGCGUGGGAAUCUGCCCUUGGGUACGGAACAACAGUUAGAAAUGACUGCUAAUACCGUAUGAUGUCUUCGGACCAAAGAUUUAUCGCCCAGGGAUGAGCCCGCGUAGGAUUAGCUAGUUGGUGAGGUAAAGGCUCACCAAGGCGACGAUCCUUAGCUGGUCUGAGAGGAUGAUCAGCCACACUGGGACUGAGACACGGCCCAGACUCCGACGGGAGGCAGCAGUGGGGAAUAUUGGACAAUGGGCGAAAGCCUGAUCCAGCAAUGCCGCGUGAGUGAUGAAGGCCCUAGGGUUGUAAAGCUCUUUUACCCGGGAUGAUAAUGACAGUACCGGGAGAAUAAGCCCCGGCUAACUCCGUGCCAGCAGCCGCGGUAA